UACGUAGGGGGCAAGCGUUGUCCGGAAUUAUUGGGCGUAAAGAGCGCGUAGGCGGUCCGAUAAGUCGGCUGUGAAAACCACGGGCUUAACUCGUGGCCUGCAGUUGAGACUGUCUGGCUUGAGUGUGGGAGAGGAGAGUGGAAUUCCUGGUGUAGCGGUGAAAUGCGUAGAUAUCGGGAGGAACACCGGUGGCGAAGGCGGUUCUCUGGGCCUUACCUGACGCUGAGGAGCGAAAGCGUGGGGAGCGAACAGG
rnacentral:rRNA from 1 species